UUUAAAGUCUGGCCUGCCCAAUGAUAAAUGAGUUUAAUGGCCGCAGUAUUUUGACUGUGCGAAGGUAGCAUAAUCAUUAGUUUUUUAAUUGAAAGCUGGAAUGAAGGGUUUGAUGAAAAAAUAACUUUCUAAAUUUUAUUAAAGUAAAAUUUUAUUUUUAAGUUAAAAAGCUUAAAUAUUUUAAAAAGACGAGAAGACCCUAUAGAGUUUAAUUUUUAUUUUUAUAUUAAAUUUUUUAGAAAUUAAAAUUUUUAUAUUAAUAAAAAUUUAAUUGGGGUGAUUUAAAAAUUAAUUAAACUUUUUAUUAAUUAAAACAUUAAUAUAUGAAAAAUUGAUCCUUUUUAAAGAUUAAAAGAAAAAAUUACCUUAGGGAUAACAGCGUAAUUUUUUUUUAGAGUUCAAAUCAAAAAAAGAGAUUGCGACCUCGAUGUUGGAUUAAAAUUUAAAUUUGGUGUAGAAGCUAAGUUUUUAAGUCUGUUCGACUUUUAAAAUUUUACA
rnacentral:rRNA from 1 species